rnacentral:rRNA from 1 species
GACGAACGCUGGCGGCGUGCUUAACACAUGCAGGUCGAACGAUGAAGCUAGAGCUUGCUCUGGUGAAUUAGUGGCGAACGGGUGAGUAACACGUGAGUAACCUGCCCCGAACUCUGGGAUAAGCGUUGGAAACGACGUCUAAUACCGGAUACGAGGCGUGGGGGCAUCCCCAACGCCUGGAAAGAACUUCGGUCCAGGAUGAGCUCGCGGCCUAUCAGCUAGUUGGUGAGGUAACGGCUCACCAAGGCGACGACGGGUAGCCGGCCUGAGAGGGUGACCGGCCACACUGGGACUGAGACACGGCCCAGACUCCUACGGGAGGCAGCAGUGGGGAAUAUUGCACAAUGGGCGCAAGCCUGAUGCAGCAACGCCGCGUGAGGGACGACGGCCUUCGGGUUGUAAACCUCUUUUAGCAGGGAAGAAGCGAAAGUGACGGUACCUGCAGAAAAAGCACCGGCUAACUACGUGCCAGCAGCCGCGGUAA